rnacentral:rRNA from 1 species
UACGUAGGGGGCAAGCGUUAUCCGGAAUCACUGGGCGUAAAGGGUGCGUAGGCGGUCUUACAAGUCAGGGGUGAAAGGCUACGGCUCAACCGUAGUAAGCCUUUGAAACUGUAGGACUUGAGUGCAGGAGAGGAGAGUGGAAUUCCUAGUGUAGCGGUGAAAUGCGUAGAUAUUAGGAGGAACACCAGUGGCGAAGGCGACUCUCUGGACUGUAACUGACGCUGAGGCACGAAAGCGUGGGGAGCAAACAGGAUUAGAUACCCUGGUAGUCCACGCCGUAAACGAUGAGUGCUAGGUGUUGGGGGUCGAACCUCAGUGCCGCAGCUAACGCAUUAAGCACUCCGCCUGGGGAGUACGCACGCAAGUGUGAA